GUAGCAUUGUUUGUUAUUAUGAGAUGGGUUCAUCAUAUUUAUUCACAUAUUUCAUUAAUAGACAUGCUGUUAACAAAGAACAGUACUACUAUUUCCAUCUGUAUGUUUUCCCAGUACUAGCCUAUCUCUCAUCGUAAUUUAUAACAGCACAUAGCUAUAAGGACUGUGUUAUAAACUUUGGGAAACAUGUUUUAUUUAAAAAUGUGUUAUAAUUUUUGGUUUUACAUAUUCAUCAAUUGUAAAAAUGCAUUGGUAUUUAAAUUGAUUUAGUUUUUAAAAUUCCCUCAAAUUAUUCAAAAUGGCGGCUCUUGAGACCGGAAAUGCCGAGUUUUGAUGAUCGGUUAAUAAACUAACAGGUUGUAAGGAAAGAAAAUAUUACUAAAAUUUGUUUCAAUUAAAUGCAGAAUUCUUUAGAUAAUAUUAAGUAAAUAAUAUUGUUUUUUAACCAAAAUAAAUUUUAAAGAUUUAUCCCGGUAUUAAUCGUGGCUGUAUCGUGAUUGGCCAAAAUUUCAAACUUUGACUUUCGUGAAUUCUGAUUGGACAAUUGCCAUUCCGCCAUCAAAUUUUGAAAUGGGCAAAGAAGACAGGAGUUGUUGUGAAGAUUUUCCUGAUUUUUUCAAGAAAUAUGCAGAAUCACAGCGUGUUGUAUGUAGUAAUGAAACUGCAAGCAGUGGUUUCAUAAAGAUAGACAUGCUUAAGACCUAGAUGAUAUGGCUUUAGUUGUGGAUGACCAUUUCCAUUCAGGAAAAAAUUCCAACCAAGUCCAGCUAGCAGACUGUACACCAGAUUGAAGAUACAUCAUUAAUACAAGAUGAAAAAAAUUAAUGGAGGACGAGGAUAAUACAAUGAAAGAGAUCAGAUGCAAGAGCAACCGUUCCCAUAGAAAUACAUGCAGCCAUGUAAACAGAAACCAGUUUUCACCUGCCAGGUGCUGGUCACAUAUAUAUUCAACUUGGAAGUUCAACAGAUUCAAGAAACAGAUCCAGUUGUUUGCUGAUAAAUUACUGCAGGUCAUUGGUAUCAUCUAGAACCAGGACUGUUUUAAAAAUCAUACUAGUAUGUUUGGAACAAAAUCAUGC